AUCAUACAAAAUAUACUAAUAAUAAGCGAAAGCAAUAUGACAAAUGAUUUGCAUAACUUAAAUAAAUAGUUAGAACUUACACAAACAUGAAAUUACACAAAUGCAAUGUACCUAAGUAUCUUGUUUGGUACUAUUUGACAUAAUUUCAACAAUUCAUUAUAUUCUGAGAAUGUGAAUUUAGUUAUCAUAUUUGCAACAAUUACCUCUUUUUUUAUCAUAGUAUAAAAACACAUCAGAAACCUUUGUU
rnacentral:lncRNA from 1 species